CCUACGGGGGGCUGCAGUGAGGAAUAUUGGUCAAUGGACGCGAGUCUGAACCAGCCAAGUAGCGUGAAGGAUGACUGCCCUAUGGGUUGUAAACUUCUUUUAUAUGGGAAUAAAAUGUUCCACGUGUGGCAUUUUGUAUGUACCAUAUGAAUAAGGAUCGGCUAACUCCGUGCCAGCAGCCGCGGUAAUACGGAGGAUCCGAGCGUUAUCCGGAUUUAUUGGGUUUAAAGGGUGCGUAGGUGGAUUGUUAAGUCAGUUGUGAAAGUUUGCGGCUCAACCGUAAAAUUGCAGUUGAUACUGGCAGUCUUGAGUACAGUAGAGGUAGGCGGAAUUCGUGGUGUAGCGGUGAAAUGCUUAGAUAUCACGAAGAACUCCGAUUGCGAAGGCAGCUCACUGGACUGCAACUGACACUGAGGCUCGAAAGUGUGGGUAUCAAACAGGAUUAGAUACCCUAGUAGUC
rnacentral:rRNA from 1 species